AGCGAACGCUGGCGGCAGGCUUAACACAUGCAAGUCGAACGGGCAUAGCAAUAUGUCAGUGGCAGACGGGUGAGUAACGCGUGGGAACGUACCUUUUGGUUCGGAACAACACAGGGAAACUUGUGCUAAUACCGGAUAAGCCCUUACGGGGAAAGAUUUAUCGCCGAAAGAUCGGCCCGCGUCUGAUUAGCUAGUUGGUAGGGUAAUGGCCUACCAAGGCGACGAUCAGUAGCUGGUCUGAGAGGAUGAUCAGCCACAUUGGGACUGAGACACGGCCCAAACUCCUACGGGAGGCAGCAGUGGGGAAUAUUGGACAAUGGGCGAAAGCCUGAUCCAGCCAUGCCGCGUGAGUGAUGAAGGCCCUAGGGUUGUAAAGCUCUUUUGUGCGGGAAGAUAAUGACGGUACCGCAAGAAUAAGCCCCGGCUAACUUCGUA
rnacentral:rRNA from 1 species